CCAAAAUUUGCUCAUUUAUUUUCUUUACAUUAAGAUCUCUGGUUCUUACCAGUGGGUCAUUUCAAACUCUAUCUCUGCUUCCCCCAGCUAGGGAUAGAAAGCCACUAUUACAGACAGGGGCUGCAUCCUUCAGGUGCUUUCUGCAGAAAUGAGCUCAAUAACCACUGAAGACAGAUGUUAAUGAUGUCUGUUUUAAGGCAAAUUAUUUGGAGACGAGGGUAACCAAGUGGAGCUGAAUGACACUGGAUGGUAAUAACUUAAUUUGCCUCAGUGACAGUUCAUCAGGUCCUUUCACUUCCAUUUUCUCAUCUGACCAUCAUGACCUUAUGGUGUAAGUAAAAAUGAUUACUUCCCUUUUUUCUUUUCUUCAGAGGGGAAAUCUGGGUUUGGAGCAGCUAUACCAUAUAUCUAAGGUCAAACACCUAAGAGGAACUUUUAACUUGGGUCAUUUAAGUGCAAGUGCCUUGUUUUCGCCAUUUUGCCAAGGACAUGGGGCUCAAGUUUGGGUGUGCACCUGGCUUGCAGCAGAACUGGCUGGGAUGGCUUCAUAACUUCCCUUCUAACAAUAUAACAAUAUGCUUCUGUAAAUUUUCACACUGAAUUGGACAAGAAUCAGAAUAUCCUGUUUUGAACAUCUGCACAGAUUGACAAACAAAAAUGGAACAUCAAGACUGACUGGAAAUGGUGAUGUGAAAUUCAUUAAAUGCUCUUGCAAUUGCCAGAGGUGCCAAGACUGAGGCUCAGAGAAAUGAAAUAACAUGCCAAAGGUCACAGUGUCUAGUGGAGCUGGGGCCAAAUUCAGAUUAAUAACACACAGGAAAAACCCUCAACUUCUUUCAUUCGCCUGUUGAGAUAAAGGGAAAGAGAGUCCCCAUCCAGGCCUGCAGGAGAGGGAGAACUGGUGGAUGCAAAUGAAAAAGCAGAGGCAUUCCUCAGGGUCUUGCUCUGCCACCCAGCCUGGAGUGCAGUGGUGCAAU
rnacentral:lncRNA from 1 species